rnacentral:lncRNA from 1 species
GAUUGAUUAAGGCUUCACACGCAUAUAAACACUUUCCAUUAGAGAGAGAUGCUAACUAAAGGUCCCACCACUACAUUGGUUCAUAUCAUUAGGAAGAAGAACAGGAAAAACAUGAAAUAAAAAACACCACCAUCCCUCGUGCUAGAGGGAAAUAUAAACACCAACACCACAAAAAACCAAAGCACUUACUUAAUCCUGAGCUAAACCAGUAAACCACUUCCUCUACCCCUAUCCCGCUUGUGCUAAUUUUUUAUUUGGUUUCAUUCAUUCUAACAGUUUUUUCGAGCUUUUGUCGGCGUCGAUGAUCAAGGAAAUAGUCUUUAGGGUUUUCUUCAAAAUCUCUGCGUAGCAUGCGUCCAUCUUCCCCUGGUUUUUUCAUGGUCUUCGCCUCCUCCUCUUGUUCAUUGCCAUGGUAGGCUGAAUAGGCCUUCUUUAUGCCCAUGAAUAACAUCAUACCUGCACUUGCUACGCCGGCUAUCUUCGUAACCGUACUCAUUUCUGAACAUCAAGCAACUGUCAAUGCAAUCUCUCUCUCU